rnacentral:rRNA from 1 species
AUUCCAGCUCCAAUAGCGUAUAUUUAAGUUGUUGCAGUUAAAAAGCUCGUAGUUGGAUUUCGGAUGGGACCUGCCGGUCCGUCUUUGAGAUGUGCACUGGCAAGUCCCAUCUUGUUGUCGGGGACUAGCUCCUGGGCUUCACUGUCCCGGGACUAGGAGCCGACGAAGUUACUUUGAGUAAAUUAGAGUGUUCAAAGCAAGCCUACGCUCUGAAUAUAUUAGCAUGGAAUAACACGAUAGGACUCUGGCUUAUCUUGUUGGUCUGUGAGACCAGAGUAAUGAUUAAGAGGGACAGUCGGGGACAUUCGUAUUUCAUUGUCAGAGGUGAAAUUCUUGGAUUUAUGAAAGACGAACUUCUGCGAAGGCAUUUGUCAAGGAUGUUUUCAUCA